AAUGAAGAUGCCACUGGAUUUGAGUAGUGACAUGUAUGGAGGAAGCGAUCAACUUGCAAAACUUAGCAACACGGUCAUGAUAUGUAUUAUAAUAGGUAAUUUUAUGCCAUGACUGUACUGCUAAGUUUUGCAAGUUGAUCGCUUCCUCCGUACAUGUCACUACUCAAAUCCAGUGGCAUCUUCAUUGCUACACUUAACAGCGUCAGCGUAGCGGCAUUGAUAGUGAAGAAUUUGCACAGAAACCAAAGUUUUUGUUUGGAAAUGCAGAGAGAGCAUCGGCAACAAUUGCUAAGAAGCAAAUUAGAGAUGCUAACAUACAUCCGAUCCAUGUCAUUGGGGAUUUGGGCGCGCAACGCUCAAAGCAACAGUGGCUGCAAUUAGGUGAUCGCGACACCAAAUUUUUUUCAUAAAAUGGCAUCGUGGAGAAGGAUUCGGAAUCAUAUUACCUGUGUGCGGGAUGUGGAUGGUAAUGUUCUUACUGAACCAAAGGCUAUUCAAGCAGCUUUUGUGGAUCAUUUCAAGAAAUUAUUUUCACCAUCUGGAAGCUUAGCUGAGGACUCAUCGGAUACAGGACUUUUUAUGGAAAUCUAACCGUGACCGAGGCAUCUAUUGGAAGAAAUGGCUCCAUGUGUUUUCCUUGCAAUUGGGGUGGUUUGGAGUUCAGGGAUCUUAGAUGUUUUAAUCAAGCUUUAUUGGCUAAACAGGCAUGGCGAAUAGUGUCCAAUCCAAAUUUAUUGUUGUCUAUAGUCCUGUUAGGCAAAUAUUGUCAGCAUCAUCCCUUCUUGCAAGUCCCUCAAAACAGUCAAUCUACAUGGGGAUGGCGGAGUAUUUUAUGGGGUCGAGACCUUUUAAACACAGGGGUUCAAUGGGUUGUGGGUAAUGGUAAAAAUCUCUCUCCUUUUGAGGAUCAAUGGAUACCGUUGAUGUCUAAUCCUUUACGAGGGAGGAACAUGAAUAGGAUGUUGCCUUCUAUGAAGGUAGCGCAUUUUAUUGACCAUGAACACAGAUGUUGGCGAGAUAACUUGAUUAGAUUAUUUUUUCCUGAUGAAUGUAGUAGACGUAUUCUAUCAACACAUCUUGCCAGAGGGCAGUGAGGAUAAAUUGAUUUGGCGACCAGUUAAGAGUGGGAAAUAUUCUGUCAAAUCGGGAUAUAAACAAGCCUUGCUUUGUUAUUUUCCGAUUUAUGGACAACAAAAUAGAGAUCAAAUGGUAUGGAAGAAAUUGUGGAAACUAGGGCUCCCUCCGAAAUGGGCUUUAUUUAGAUGGAAGUGUCUUCAUAGAUUGCUUCCAGUACAGUGGGAACUAAAAAAGUGAGGAAUAGUGGUUGAGACAAAAUGUGUUCGAUGCCACAAGACCCGAUGAAACUAUCGAACAUUUGUUUUUUUCAUGCGAUUUCUCACAGUGGGUUUGGACUUCAGUUCUGGAGUUUCAGUCCCCUUUUUCAGGUGGUUCACAACAUGGAUUGAGCAAAUCAAAGACACAUAGAUUAUUGUACAAUCGGUUGCUCUUCUUUGGGCUAUCUGGUUACAAAGGAACAGUUAUGUUUUCAACUCUACUCCUAGGAAUAUUGAGGGCACCAUCAAAGAUGCCAGGAACCUGUCUGCUUGGGCAAUUUCUUUUCGCACUAAUGCUGCUAGUUUUUGUGAUGCUGAUGUAGGAAAGGCAGUAAACAAUAUAAUCAUCUUGUUUUCCAUCAGGCAUGCGAACAGAUGAACACUACAACCAUGUUGAGGCUUAUCACGGAUGGAGCAUGAAAAUCGGCUCAGACAGAAGCUGGUAUAGCGUGGGUCUAUGUGGAUCACACAGGGCAGCUCAUAUAUCAAAUGCAGCAAGAGUGAAUCCUCUUCCUUGUACGACAGCAGCAGAAGCAAUGGCCUGUCUGGAGGCUUUCGGGCAGGCAGUCUGGGAUUUCAAUGUUAAUUAUUCAAACUGAUUGCCAAGUCUUGGUUCACAUCCUUCAGAGUAAAGGCACAAUGUUAGAUUGGCAGAUUAUGUCUAUUGUUAAUGAUAUUAUUAACUCUUAUAAGGAUUUUGAUUAUCUUAGUAUUAGUAAAGUUGAUCCGAAUGUAAUUACACCGGCACAUAAACUGGCAACCGAUGUAAUUAAUGUCAUCAUAUAAUAUUUUGUGGUUGUUCGUUCUCAAAAAAACAAUCCAUGUGGUGUUGGCCUAAAAGGGGAAAGAAAAAAAAAAAGAGCUUUAG